GAGCAGCCAUCGGUGGCCUGGUGGCAGUUUAUAGGCCCAGGGCCAUAUGUCCCAGAGUGACAUGCAGGGUUGCAAUUCUGCAAUGACAAAGAACAGCUGCGGUGACCACAGCGUGAACCACGACUGAUGACAAUCUGCAGGGAUUUUUGCAUCAACCCAGCAGUGUGGCUCGCAUAAUGGAUGAUGUCAUCCUUGAAGGCAGAAACCAUG
rnacentral:lncRNA from 1 species